CUUGAAGGAGGAGCAGCCCCUUCAAAACCGAGCUGUGUGCCCGGGCUGAGCCCCCACCGCGCUCUGCACGACCCCCGCUGCGGCCCCGGCUGCCGGCCCGGCCUGCCGCGGCUCUGCACGGCCCCGCCACGGCUGGCAUCCAGCGAGGCCACCGUGACCCCGGGAGCUGCAGUGUGGCACUGCGUGUAUUUGACAAGCUGAGUCCGACACUCAGUGUGCAGAGUGUCAGUUUGUCAAAUACCCCAAGUGAGGCACUGCUGAGCAACGCGACGCCGAGGGUGCAGCCCUUUCCUCCUGCUCUGGCAGGAGCCUUCCUCUCCAGGCUCGGCGCCUCUGCAGAAAUCCACCGAGGUACUGAGCAGCCCAUCCCAUUGUUCCACAACACCUGAAGGAUCCUGUGCUGCCAGGUUUCCCUUCCACCCCGGUUUUGGAAGUAUCUGUUGGGCUAUCCCUCCCAACAGUAAAUCAGAGCAGAAGUGCAAUUUCUCUGCACUGUGAAGACAGGGAAUUGUGCCCUGGGUCCUUGUUGUUUGCAUCCAAAUACAAUGCUGUUCUCUUACCCAGCAUUAACUAGCCAGCUGUAAAUUAAGCUCAGUUAACAAGGAUCCUGGCAACUAUAAUCACAACAUCAUGGCUAAUGGCAGCAUUAUCCAUAAUAAAGAAUCUUGCCUUUGCACAUGUAGUAAUCUUUUUUAAUAUGGAGUACAAACUAAUGAGGCUGCUCAUUAACUUCCCUCUGGCCCAUUAGCCUGUGAAAAAUGCAUGUUGGUUCAAUCUGUUUUAAAUUAGGCCAUGGAGUCCAUUGCCUCUUCUGGGAGCCUUGCUAUUUGGAGAAGACUUCUUGUCUUUGCAUGGUUAUUCCUAGUCAGCACUUGCAGCAAGGUUGCCUAUUCUGUUGUUUAAUUAAAGUAAUUGCCUCUAAAUCAUCCACUUGAAGAUGUAAUGAUUGCUAAGUGUUUUCAGUAACUGACUUGUAGCAUUUCAGAUAUGUCAGGGUAGGGGAAUGACAGUGGCAGCAUGCAGCCCAAUUUUACAAAUCAAACUCUCUGAAAGCAUUUGACAUGGAAAACUGAAGAAUAAAAAAAAAAAUCCCAAGACUCUACUGACUAGUUUUAGGACAGUACCACCAGCAAAUUUUACAAUAUUUGAGAGCAUUAAUAAGCAUUUAUUAAUGCUCUCAAAAAAAAAAAAAACAACCCAAAUUGGGUUUUUUGUCACAACUAUUUCUUAGUAAAUACUUUGAAGAAGCUGGAGUUUGUACUAAGCUGGAACCCAUGAAGGUAUGUCAUUGCCUGAGCAAAUUGUGUUCUGCUUUUUGAAUAGCUUGUGCACUUCUGGACAAACAUGGUCCACCAGUGGUCAGAAAUGGCCCUACUCCUUAUGACUCACACUCCCAUGGUCUCUCUCAAGCACCUCCUCAUGACUCACAGACAUCACCCUGAUUUUUAUCACUGAGGUUAGCUUCAAAAGAGAACAAGGUCUAUGAUUUGAGGCUUUGCCUUGUCCCCAGUGGAUCUUCCAUGAAGCACACAGCCAUGUCAGCUCCAAGCCCUGCUGUCACUCAAACCUUGAGGUUUCAACAGACCCAACCUCCUUUGCACCACAGCUGGCCAAGGGUUUGUUUAUGCCCUUCCUUCUUGUUUUCUCAUGCAUUUUCAAUAUUUUCUUCAGUAGUUUGCCCUCUGCUUUUUAGACAACUCUCCCCUUCAGCUCCCUGAUCCUUCCAGAUGACUGGGGUGAAGGGGAAGAAAGCAAACCCUUUCCUCUCUUACAAGAACAAGCAUCAAAUUACAGUGGUACAAAUUUCUCUGGGACUUCAUCUCCCACCUUCCUGCUCUGAAGUAUGGUACAAACCCAGCAGUUGUAAAAGCCACCAGGUCCCCUCCAUGGGACAGGCACUGCAAGGGGAACUGCGAGUCCCGUGACACUGUGCUGGCCACUUGAGAUAGUGUGUUUUUGGGAGGCAGUAUCCUUUCAGGGCAGAAGCUGAGCUUUUCCUUCCCUUCUGGAGCAGAGCUCAGCAAAUGAGCACAGUGCAAGGAAAGGAGAAGUUUUCUGGUUUGAUAGUGAAGCAACACAGCAGAACUCUCUGUGGCUUUCAGAAGAAAAACGUUCUGUUGCCAACAGGUUUUACUAGAAGCAUGGAAAACAUGCUAAAAGUAAAAUAAAGAAAUAAUCACACAUUUGUUACCCAGGGAAUAACACCUCGGCACUGGUGACAGGCUUCUAAUGUUCCCACUCUUCUGCUAUUUGUGACCAAAGUCCUGUUGCUGCCUUAACUAGAGGAGUGACAACAUGGAGUCCAUGGGGGCUGGUCCAUCUGGGUCCAUCUGCUCCCCCUUUCUUAACUCCUGUUGCCUUCUUCCUCUGUAGCUUCUCCCAGGCUUCAUGUCUUCUGAGGAAGGUGUCCAGACCUUGUCAGAGCAGAUCAGUGCUGGGAGGAAUCACAAGAUGGAAAAACCAUGGUGUUACAUAGUCAAUGAGUGAACCUGGAGCUCAGAGCUUUUAACAGCAGGAAAACUUGCACAGAAUACCAAGCUAAUUGAAAAUGAAUGAGGAUGAUAUUUGUGGGGGAAAGGAGAGUGCCAUGUCAUGUGUUUUGGGCCUAGAUUAGCUGAGGUAAGGAUGGGGAAGCUGAGAAAUUUUCAGUUCCCUUCCCACCCAGUGUUGACCUUGCACCACAUGCUACUGCCCUGCCUGAGCAUGGCUGCAGCUCUCCAUUCCCCUCAGCUCCUUUGUUCUGCACCACCCCUAGAACUGCUGAUGCCAGCAGCUUCUGCAGCAUGGGAUCUUCAGGGCUGGCUGCCAUGAGUCCCACAGGGACAGACUGGAUUCUAUCUGCCUCCCUGGAGUGUAGCCUAACAGCCAGCACAGCCCUCCCUGCAUGGCUGUCACUGUGCUUGUGAAGCCCUCACAAUACAGGCAGGAGAUUUUUUUUCUCUGAUCUUUCCCCCCUCACAUCCUGCAGUUCGGAGCUGUAAAGGUGCAAGUGUGGCUCUACCCAGCACUCAGGCCACAAACAGCAAAGUGACCCUGCUGUUAGGCUGCUGACCCGAAAAGAGGUGGGUGAUUCAUGGCAGCAGAGACGAGCCUUGUGGGUGAAGUCAGGGCCAAGCAGGAGGAUGUGUGUGUGACUUGAGCUCAGCUGCUUCCCUAUGCUUUCCUUGCUGCACCCACUGAUAUAAAAAAAAGGCCAGUAAUUCUUACAAAUUUGGUUUGCCAAAGCCAGGAGGCAUUCCUCCUCCCUGCCAAGUCCCUGGAGGACAAAGGGAUGCUGGCGGGAGGCACAGAGAGGACAGGACUGACAGCAGCACUGCAGUACAGGCACUAUGCAAACAAUUAACAGUGACAAGGCAAAUCAGGCUGCUGAGUGACAGUGUACUGUAGGGAAUGCAAUGCAGCUGAAGGCAGGAACUGCAUCCAUGUUGCACACAGGUCAGCAUUAGUAAUCACACAGAUUGACUUACAUCCCCCAGAGUAAAUUGCUGUCAGCCUGUUGUAUUCAGAGAGGUCCCUUAAUCAUUAUCCAACUGCCUCAAAUUUCUCUCUAUUUUAUCAUGCCUCUGGCCCCCAUACUGUAAACAUUAAAUGCCAGCAUUUCCUUCAACAUCAGUUCUUGUUUUCCAGGAGAAAACCAGUGGGUGACAGUUCAGAGACUCAUUCCCUCUCUCUCUGAGCACUGAGCUCCAGUCUGAUAGCAAAAAUGGCAUUCCUGGGACAUCAACCUCCCCUCUGUGGUCCCUUUACCAUGCUGUAA